rnacentral:rRNA from 1 species
UACAGAGGUGGCAAACGUUGUCCGGAAUUACUGGGUGUAAAGGGUCCGCAGGCGGCCUUGUAAGUCAAUGGUGAAUGUCCCGGCUCAACCGGGUCACUGCCGUUGAAACUGCAGGGCUUGAGUACGAUAGAGGAGAGUGGAAUUCCCAGUGUAGCGGUGAAAUGCGUAGAUAUUGGGAGGAACACCAGUGGCGAAGGCGGCUCUCUGGAUCGAUACUGACGCUCAGGGACGAAAGCUAGGGGAGC